AUGAGGAGCAGGUGGUGAAGCCCGUGGUGAGCGUGUACCCGGCAGCAUCCAGAGGCCGGCUGGAGGAGAAGAGCUCCCUGCUGUGUUUGGCCUCAGCCAUGUUUCCUCCUGUGGUCAGAAUCUCCUGGAGACGACAAACGGAGAGUGGAUGUUUAGAGGAGCUGCCCUCUGCUGACGGACAGCAGCUGGAGCUCAGAGAGUCUGGAUGUACUGCCUCCGUCUUACAGAUCUAUCAGACAAAGUUCAGCUAUGAAUACAGCUGCUACGUGCAGCAUGAGGGGGGAACAGUGGAGGCUCUUAUAGAUACAGCGGAUCCCUCUGUCCCGUCUCCAUACAAGGUGAAGCUGCUCUUGCUGCUCUACACAGUGCUGACAGUGAAGAGUCUGGUGUACUGCUGUGGACUCUUCCUGCUGACCGUCCUCAGGAACAUCUCAUAAAUGUAUCUCCUUUAUCACUUAGAUGAAUUUAAAAAUGUCAAUCAUGACUAAAUAUAUGCAAUUAUGAUCAAACAACAUUUUGCAGCAGUGUAAAACAAAUCCUAUAUUAUAUACAUUAAAUGUUAUUGUUUUGUAUAAUACUUUAGCAAAUGAUGCGCAAUGUUUAGAGCUAUUAGCGGCUAAGAUGCUUUCUUAAUCAGGCCCUCAGUCUCUCGUAACAAGCUCUCUUUAUAGUUUCACACACCGCUGAGAAUAAAAUGUACAGGAAGAUAUGAAUACAAGCACACACAUUGACCAGGAACAAAAAGCUCACAAAGAAAAGUAAACUCGUAAAAAUUCAGUG